CUCCUGCCUCGGCCUCCCAAAGUGCUGGGAUUAUAGGCGUGAACCAUCAUGCCCAGCCCUCCUUAAUUUUUUAACAUGAAUUAAUAGGACUUGGACACACAUAGCCUCAUUUAUAUGGGCAGCCAUCACAGCCUGCCAUGUGUCAGAUGAGGUCUCUGGGGCUCUCACUCCUUGCAUCGGGGCUGAUGCCACAUGUGGCCCAGCUGUAGGUCACAUUCAUCUCCUGCGUUCUCCGGGAUCAGAUGGAAUACCAGCACAUCUUACCCUCGUGUGCCCUGGGAGUUUGUAAUAAUGUAUGAAUAUGUAGAUUUAUUUCAGAGAACAUUUUCAGGAUCCUGUUGCGCAUGUGCACAAAAAUAUUGGCUGCAGUGUGUUUAUAACCGUGAAAACUCCAAAAUAGCUUCAAUCUCCUGUGAAAGGGGAGUGGUUGAAGGCCCUCCAGCACGUGCACAGAAUUCUUUCUUCAGCCAUUGAAACAUGAAAAUGACGGUUAAAAAUGACUCCAUUAUGGGGAAAAGGGACAGGAUGCAAAUGGCAUGAUGAUAUGAUGGCACGAUGUAUGAUAAGGAAAGAAAAAGAUGUUGUAAAAGGUCACAUAAAGUCACCCACAGAUCAGCAGUCAUGCCAUGAUUAGCUGCUCUGUGCCAGACACACAGGCUGGAAAUUGGUAGCUGCUCACCCCAGGAAGUGGGCAGCUGCCCCUCUGUGCCUCCGUUGCCUCUGUUAGGCUCCUGGAAGCCCCCUUCAUUGCUGCAUGUAAUGACAUCUUCAGCACCACAUGUAACAGCUUCUUUACCACUAUGUGUAAUGUCAUUCUGUGUGCUUCUUGGGCUAAACCACCACAGAGGAAAAGAGUGCUGGAGAAAUGCCAGGGAUAUCGGUACGGAAAUGUUCCAGAUGGAAAGUCUCGGCUUCAGGUGACCGUAGCAGUGAAUGUCAGGGUCAAACAGGGAGUGUAUUCUUGGGAGAGCGUCAGCUCAUCUGUGACUUAGUGUUCAGCCGGCUUCCUGGAAAGGAGGCUGCAUCCUGACAUUGAAGCCCUGUGUGCUAGGAUGAGUGUGUUACGCAGAGCCUUACAAAUGAGAAAAUCUUGCAUCCUCAGGACAGGCGGUUAGUGUUGCUGUCUGGAAUCCACCGGCUACGUCCUUCCUCCCUCCAUCACUUAAAAUUCCCUGAAUCUGACAGUGGUAGGGAAAGGGCUGAUCCUGGAGAAGAUUGUUCCUUGAUAAUCCUAGUAUGAUUCAUAAUGGUUGCAGCAGAUGAGCCCUGAGGUCCGUGGCUCAGUCUGCAGCUGAGGAAGGCUCUUCCCUGGGGAGGUGUGUCCAGCUUCUUGGGAAGACCUCAGCUGUCUGGCUGGGCUGGGCUGCCCAGUUCUUAGCAGUGCGUCAGUGAUCAGCAGCCCCUGACCAUCAGACAGCGUUUCCCGUCUGCCAGAGAACGUCAGAGCCACUGCGUCUGGACCAGCUGAAGGCAGCCACGGUGCCCAGGAUGCUGCUGCUGCCUCCAAGGAAAAGAAUUCUGAAAAUGAGGAAUUACAGCCUGGUGGUUUUGUUUUAUGUUCAAUAAUUUUUUUUACAUCUGGAAGAUAAUGGAAAAAAUUAAAAAUUGCUAUAAUUGCACCAGUUUUAAAAAUUAAUAAUAUAAAGAAGGGAGAGUCACCAACACCAGCUUGAAACCCAUCCCACCCCUUCUUGAGAUAAUACCUGUUAUCAAUUUGGUGAUUUAUGCAAACGUAGUGGUGUACUGUUAAACUUCUCAAGAGGAGAAACAAAAACCCUGAAUUGUAGGUUGGUCGAUUUCAAUGGUGAAAUCCCACCGCAGCCGGUUUCAGGCAACCAAAGCUUUAAAAACCAGUUCGCAAAAUUCUUGAAUAUUUAAUAAUCAGCUUUUGCAAGUGCAUACAUGCUCACAGCGUUUGCUUUUUGUACUUCAUUUUGAGGGAGGCAGGAAAUGGAAACUUGCAAUGGUAUUGGUAAGCAUGCCAUUUUUAUUUACGGUAUCACCACGUCUUCCCAGACUAGCAUGUGCAGGUUCACUUAGCUGCUCUCACUUGUGGGAUGGAGUUUCCAUGAAGGCGCACCGUGUUGCUUCUGGAAGGGCAGAAUCGGCCCCCCAGGAGAGGGGAGUGGCAGCAGCUUAGCACUCGGAGGUUAGCUCCUGCAAUGCUAUCCACAUUUGGCGUUUACUUGGAGUUCACUCUAGCUUCUGGUUUCUUCUAAAUAUGUUCUUCCAAUAACCUGUGGCCUAAUCAACGAUGCUGGUGAUACAUCCCUUUGCUCUGUUCAAUUCCAGUUUCCAUCAGAGAAUCUCAUUUUUCUUUUGGGAAAUGUUUCCUGAUUUUCUUCUUUUCCACCACCCCUCCCUGAGGCUGGGUAAAGUGCUGCUUCUGCAAUGAUGCUUAGAACCCAGGCCUCCUUCUGUGACAGGGCUCUCUGCACCUCAUGGUUUAUUGUGUGAUGUCUCAGCCUGUUUCCUGCAGAGAAGCAGAGAAGCUCUGGUAAACAGAAUGGCCCUCUAAAGAUGCCCACGCCCUAAUCUCUGAUGUUAUGCCUAUGAAUGAAUAUGUUACUUUAUAUGGCAAAGGGGACUUUGCAGAUGUAAUUAAGGUUACGAAUCAAUUGACUUCUAAUAGGGAGAUUAUCCUUGGUUAUCCAGGUGGGCCCAAUCCAAUCACAUGGGCCCUUAAAAGCAGAGAUUUUCUCUGACUGUGCUGAGGAAGAUGCCGUGAACGAUUCUAAGUGUGAGAAGGAUUUGAUGUGCCACUGCUGGCUCUGAAAUGUGGGGCCCACUUGUAGGAACUGGAGGGAGAGACUGGUUGCUAAGGGUGGCCCCUAGCUAACAGCCAACAGAGAAAUGGGGACCCCCCCCCAAUCCUACAGCUGCAGGGAACUGAUUCCAGAACAUGAAUAAGUUUGGAAGAGGAUCCUUCCAGAACCUCCUGAUAGGAGUCCAGUCCGCUGUCACCUUGAAUUCAGCUUCGUGAACCAGGAGCAGGGAAACCAGCUGAGCCAACCCACUCUCUGACCUAAGGAGCACUGAGUUGAGGACGUGGAAGUGCUGAGAUGCAACAUAAGUUCCCCCAAAUUACUCAGCUACUUGAGGCACAGCUGACAUCCAGAAGCUUCUCCGGAAAGGCUUUUGGAGUUCCCCAAGGCAGAGUCAACAAGAACGUAAGUUCCUUGACAAGAGGGACUGUGUGCCUCACUCACUGUCAUCUCCCCACCACCUGCCUCAAAGUGGACAUUCUGUUAAUAGUUACUGAGUGAAUAGACGCAGGAAGUUCAGCCUUUUUUGAUCUAAUUUCUUGCUCAAAGCUCAUCACAGCAUUCAACAUGUGGCUUCCUCACUAACCUGUGCACCCCUCAAGUCCAGGACCAUGUCAGAUUGUCUUUGAAUCCCUCAGCCCCAGUCUCAGACCUGCAUCAGAGCAGGUGUUCAGCAAAUGAAUAUCAAAUUGUGGAAACAGGGAUCUUUCCAUUCUGGAUUCAAGACAGUGCCCUCCCUGUGAAGCUUUUCUGAGCCCUUUCACACUGAAGUUCUCCAAACCUUCAUGUUGACACCUAUCUGCCUGCUGCCCUCAGUCCAGGAGCAACUUGGACAUCAGCCCUUCCUGUCACACUGGGGUUGGUGCACCUGGCCUGUUCCGGGACAGAUCGCAAGGCUGAGGGUUAAGUAACACCUGGAGUGGUUAGGAGGCUGGGCACCUCCUUCUUGUGAAUCUCCCGGGCUGCGUGGCGGGUGGCGGGUGGCUGGCAGGGGAGGACCCUUGGCACUGCUGUGGCUUUGCUUUUGCUGCCAGCGGGGCCUUUGAUGCCCCAGGGGCUGCUUGCCCAGCCAAAAGCAUUGUAGAACACAAAAGCUGCAGAAAGCAGCACAAAUAAAGUAAAAACGACCCAGGAACUGCCAGGAAGCUUAUCAACCUGUUUCCUGGUCACAGGUAUGGGGUGUAGGGAGGCACGGGGAGCAUUUCUGGGCCCUUGUGAUCUCCUGCACAUUGCCAGGGCCCCUGGUAUUGUGUACAAAGCAUUAACCUGGAAGCUAAGCAAGGCUCUUCACCUUGCAAAACUGACUGAAUGAGUCCAAACUCUUAGAGUUUUUGUGAGGGUUAGAUAGGUUGAUAAGUUAAAGUGCCUACUCUGUGUGUGUGCAUCUAAUAAUGAUAACAGCCACAGUAGUAAUAACGAUAGCAGCUAAUACUUUCUGAGCUUUUCAUAUAUGCCAAACACUAUUUUAACUGAUUUUUAUAUCAAUUCAUUUAAUCUUCAUAAUGACACUAAGAGGUAGGUAGUACUGUUGUCUUCAUUUUAUAGAUGAGAAAUUUCACCAAAGCUCAGAGAUGUUAAGUAAUUUCCUUAAGAUGGCACAGCACAUGAAAAGACAAUCCGGCAUUUGAACCUGGCACUCUGGUUGUGAAACACUGGUCUAUAGCCACCUUGCUACCCAUUUCUUCCCCCUAGCCUUUGGAAUAUUGUGUUCCCCUAAUUAUUAUGGUAGUGAGGACAACCACGUGAUGAUGAUGAUGAGGAGGAGGAUGACGACGAUGACAGUGAUGGUGGUGGUGAAGGAGGAAGACAUGCCCUCAUUUCGUAUAGCAAUCUGCUUCUUGCUGGGAUUUCAAAUCCAUUUUCAUUGUUGAUCCUGAGAGCAAGCCUUGGAGGGGGAGUCACUUUGAAAUCCCAGGAAACUGGGCCUUAAGAGGCAGCUGAAGACCCAUGAAUUCAUGCGGUGGAGUCUGCGAGGCCCAGAGCGGAAGAGGAGGACAUGGGUGUAGCAGCCCACACUGCUGUGCCUACAGCUCUGGAUCCUGACUCUGACAGGAAAUUGAGGCUGUUCCCUUGACCUCUCCAGACAACUUCGUGGUGACUUCAAGCCCUCUUAUGAGGUGGUGGAUCAUAGCUACCGUUGAUUGAGAGCCAGUCUUGGUGCUCUGUGUUCACCUGGUUCAUCUGAGGGACUGCAUCUACCCUGCCCUUGCCAUAGUUCCUGCCCUGUUUGCUUCUCCUGUUGCUGCUAGUGGACAUUAGGUAACCACAGCCUAGUUCUGUGAUGAGCUCUUCACACCUGUGCCCAUAUGGACUGUGGGAGAGUUUCUCUGAUAUGGACCGUGAUGCGGAUGAGAAAACUGCUACUCAGAGAUGCUGAACGUAACUCGGCACAGCUGAUAAGUAGCAAAGAUGAAAGCCCAGGUGCAGAGAAGUUCCGAGAAUGUGGCCCUCCUGGGAUGGAAGGUGUCCUUGUGCUAGUCAUGAGCGAGACAGAAAGCAGGGAACUGCCAAAUUGUCUUCCAAAGUGGCUCCAUCAUUUUGCAAUCCCACCAACAAUGAGAGUCCCUGUUGCUGCAAAUCCUCCACCAGAAUUUGGUAUUCAUGUUUUGGAUUUCAGCAUUCUAUUAGACUAUGUGUCCAGACUUCCAGAGAGCAGACAUAUUGAUGCAGUCGAAUUGCCCACCUUUCACAUUCCCCUUAUUGUUCCAUGGAUGGAGUAUAAUAAAUUGGCAAUUAAUGGAAGAGAAAAGAAGGACAGAAUAAUGGGCUCCAGAUUCACAAGCCCCACCAAGAGGAUCACCCCAGGAACCCUUGGAGGCUGAGGAGUUCACUGAGGCUAGUGCAUCUCGAGACUCAGGAUGAAGACCCAACUUGGGGCUGUCAAAGCAGGUUGAGCCCCUUCAGAACAACAGGCCCUGUCCUCAGUGCUGUGGACGCAGCAGGGAUGCACACAGAGUACCUGUCCUCAGGGAACUUUCAUUUUAUUGGAUGGAGACAGACAACCCAUAAAGAUUUGUAUAAAUGUCUAAUAUGUGCUACAGAAAGAGAAGCAGCAAAGUAAAGGGGUGAAGAUUGAAAAGGUCAGGGAAUACUGCUCUGAUGAAGCGACAUUUGAGCAGAGACCCAAACAAAGCAAAGCAGUGGGCCCAGCAAAUAUCCGAGGCCAGGAUGGUUUCUGGCAAAGGGAACAGAGAAUUCAAAAGCCCUGAGCAAGGCGGGCCUUCUACAGAUGUGUAAAGAGCACCGUGCUUGGGGAGGAUUGGGAAGCCACGGCCUGGGAACAAGUGAGAGAACUGAGGUGUUUAGGGCAGAAAAGGGAAGCCUUGUGAGUAGCAGGCAGCUUCCCUCACAUAAAGCGUUCAAAUGUGGUAGAAGGAUAAGACUUUUUAUUACAUAAUGCCGGAAGUUGGAACCAAAGACCAGACCAGCUGGAAGUUGCUAGAGGCUGUUUGCAAAGGCAAGAAUACGACAUCAGGUGGUGGUGUAUACUUCCAUCCAGAGGCAAAUGAUAUCUUGUUUCUCUGUAAUGUACAAAACAAUUUUCAACCAGAAAUGAAGAUUCUGAAGUACCUGGUGAGGAUUCUGACAUACUUAGAAUAUUUGGAUGACUGCUGCUUGAAUGGAUGGCCUUGAGACACCUGAAGACCCUGAUGUGCCUUCUGAAUCAAACCAUGACUCAAUUACAUCCAUCAUUUAAUAACAACAAUUUUAGAAGGGUGUCCUGAAGGAGUACCAUAUUGAAUCCAGUGUUUAUGGGGCCUUCGUUUCAUGGGAUUGGAGUUCGAACCCAGAAUGGCGAAGUGACUCACCCACAGAGCUGAUGGCAGCAGCUGAACUUUACAAAAGUGAUGGUGGCUCAAAGCCCUUCUGCUCCAGUGUGUCUCAUAAAGCUUUUAUGAAGCCUCAAUCAUCUCUUCAGCAGAUCCUGUGUCAUGAAGAAGGAUGCAGAGAGCACAAGGAGCACCCCAUCCAUGGUGCAUCCCAGGUUUCUAAACCUUCCAGGGAGGGGAAAUCAGCAUUUUUGGCUUUGGCCAAAAAACCAAAUUGCUGAAGCUAUGGGACUUGUUCCAAACUGCAAGAUCUUGUUUGAUGGGAAUGAUUGUAGCUUUAGGUAAUUCUGGGGCUUAUUGGCCUGGGUGAGAGCUCCCUAGCGUCUGCUGGAAUGUGAUGGCUGUAAGAUGCAGGGAGGAGAAAUGGAAGAGUAGGGUCUUUAUUGACCCAACAGAGCCUUGUAAAGAAGUACCAACUACAUAUAUGCCAUCUGUGCAUUUCAAAAGCAACAAACAAACAAAAUCAAUUUACCAACUCUUGGGAGAGAAAAUGGAUUAUCAUUCACUGGAAAUUCUCCUAGGUAAGCAGCAGAGUGCUAUACCUGUGCAGAGAGAAAAGUUUUAUAUAUGCUCAACUAUGUCCUCACUGUAAUACAGUCCCAUCGUGUAUUUCCUGAGACAUCUACUAAGGAGACUUCCUAGAAUUGAAUCUUUCUCAUCUUUUUUCCCUUUUCUUCCUCGAGUCUUCUGUGACAUGCAAUAAUACAAAACAAAACACAGGUCUUAGAAUAAAUUCACCUGGAAUCAAGUCACUGUGGAAAGUUGGUCUUCUUUGACCCUCAGUAUUCCCCUCUGCAAACCAGGAAUAAUAAGACCUGCAUUUCUCCAGUGACCAAUAGUAAACUGAGCUUCAAUUAUCUAGUUAGAGAAAAAGUUAAAUAUUGCUUCCAAAGUUUAACACACGUUUUAAUAUUUUUACUUUCUGCUUUAAAAAUAUGCUUCUCAUUUUCUUCCCCUGACUAGAUCUUUGACUGCCAGAGAGAUGUGUAAGUAUCUUGAGCUCCACUGGUAGAGUUAUGAGUUCUUGAAUUUAGAGGUUAUUAGAAGAAUUUUUUCUACUGUUUUUAUGUAAAUUACUACUCAGGAAACAAUGGUGGAAUAUGAUCUUUAUUUCUCUUUUAUAGUGCCCUUUUCAUUGCUUCCAAACUUUUCAUAACUUUUCUACAGUUACCAAUACCAUCUUAUAUCAUCCAGACUGCCAUUGCAAUACACUCUUAACUCUUUCCAUGCCAGCACAUCUUAUACAUAGCAUUCAUUCAUUCAUUUGCUCACUUAGCAAACAUGCCUGGUAGAGCUCGAACAUUCAAGUAGGUGCUAGACAUAUUAAUGAGCUCAAAUAUCUUCUUCAGAUUCCCAUCACUUGUCAUAUAAAUGUCAAGGCCCAUUGCCUAUGAUUCAGAAACCUCUGCAUUUACUUAUUUAAACCUGCUUUGAUACCUUUAACCUAUUUUUUUCCCUUUUUUUUCUUUCCUUUAAGAAAUAAGGUCUUGCAAUGUUACCCAGGAUAGAUUUUAACCCCUAGGCUUAAGGGAUCUUCUGGCCUCAGCCUCCUGGUUAGUUGGAACUAUAGGUGUGUGCCACUGUACCUGGCUCGACCUGCUUUUUAAUUCUUUCUCUCACUGCAUGGUAUUAUGAACUCUCAACUCCAGGUGGACCAGUCUCCUCUUAUGUCUGUGCCUUUGCUUUGGUGGUUCUCUUCCAGGUGUGCCUGCCCAUCUCGAUUUCACUUGUUCAAACCUAAUACUCAGUGGGAAGUUCAGGUAUUACUGCUUUUGUGAAACUCCCCUGACAACAAAGGUCCAUAAGACCCUUGUUUAAUAUCUGAAUUGAUAUAAUUCAAACUACUAGUUAUCUAAGCAUAUAGGAAAACAACAAGAUUUCAAGAUACUUAAAUGAAAAGAGAGAAAGAUACUGGUUUAUCUGUUCUCUUACCCUCCAUAGAAUCUAAUACAGUCUUACUCAACAAAUACUCGCCUAUUUAUUGUUUAAGCCACCUAAUAACACAUAAAAAUGGAAAGUGAUUCGCUGUUGGGGCUAUUCCAGUAGUUUAUGGCUUCUCUCUUAUUUAUUUAUUUUUUGGAUGACUUCAGAUACCAACUUGGUUCAAACCCUUAUCAAAAAUGACAUUUCCAACUUGGCUCCUGUGGAGUCUUCAAUCCUUCUUCUGUCGUUGCUAUAGAAAUACAGGAUUGCCUAGUCUAGUCUGGAGAGCACAGUGUCAGGUAGUGAAAAGAGUUGCAGCUUUGCACAGAAAAACUAGAUUUGAGUUCUAAUUCUCCCUGCAAAUUUUUUGACUCUAGAAAUAGCUUGCCUCUCUGAACCUCAAGUCCCUCUUCUAUAAAGCAGAAUUAAUAAAACCUAUUGCACGGCUGUUGUGAAAAUAAAAUGUGAUAAUAUAUGAAUAUAGUACCUAUUUUGCACACUUCACAGUAGGUGAUUGCUAAAUUAUAGCUAUUAUUUGUAUCCACCAUGAAUGCUAUAGUGUUCUGCAUCUUCUAGGGCUCUGGAAGAACCACUGAACUUACAGGGAUGCAUACCAGCCUCCUGUGUAGUGAGCUCUCCUAGAUUGUAAUUUUGAGAGCUGUCCAGCAUGCAGACUCCUUCCUUGUUGGUACAGAGCCUCUUUCUUUUUGUAGUAUGGUUGGAGAAUAGUGGCCUCUAUUUAUCACAGAUGUCAGAAACUUUAAAUCCUCCCUCUUUUCAUCCCUAGGUUGAUAGAGUAUAGCAAAUGUCCAGAGUUUGGCCCAUUAUGUCCCUCUGCCACCUUACCUCUGAGAUUUUGAAUCCUGACUGUGUGACUCUUGCUUCUGGGAUUUUGAAACCUGAGCGUAUGUCCUAAAGCUAAAUACUCAUGUAUAAUUUAUUCACAGCUCAGGCAACUGCAGUGGUGGUAUUCGGCUACAUUCUUCCUACGAGAUCAUUGUUGAGCUUCCUCGUCUUUAAUCAUCCAGACUGCUACGAUUCUUGUUUUCUAAGUCUCCCGUUGCUGUGAACCUCUGAUAAACUUCCAAUAAAUCACUAACCCCUCUUCCCCAAUUUUUCUCCCUAUGUUAUUGAAACCAAGAACUCAGAGUGAUAUACUACAUGUCCCAGGUGCUUCAUUCAAUGACAGAGGAUCCAUGGUGCAUUGGCCCACCCUUUGAUCUCAUCCCCAUGACUGGCUGUAAGGCUUCGUGAGGUCUUCUGCUGUCAUCAUCUUUGUAUCAUAGUUUCCAGGGAAUCCUGGUUUUUAAGGAAUCCUGGAAUCCUGGAGCCAGAAAGAAUGUUGAGCUGCCCUCUAGCUAAGCCACUGGCUUUCCAGUCAGUCACCUCCUGUCUAUUUUCACAGGAUGGCAUUUCUCACCUUGAAUUGUUUCCAUGUUCUAGUUUUCCCCUCCUUCUUUAGAAGAAUGGUUCAACCAAUGGAAUUCUGGCAACUUCUCUUUUCAACACCUGAACAUGUUAUCAGGAGACACAAAUUCUCUUGUAACCUUUGCUGUCGAUAGUCGUUGUGUCAGCCGGUUCAUCUCUUUGUCCUUCAGUCUUCUCACCUAUAAACUAGGCUAAGUAGCAACAGAAGGUCAUUGUGAGGGGAAAAUUAAAAAAUUGUCAUGGUGGAAUAUUUUAACAUUUUUUUAAUUUUAAAAAAUUAAAUUACUGGAAGUAACAAGCAGAUGAUGUCCUGAAUAUUUUUCACAGAACAAUGAUAAUAAAAUGAAUGGUAACAACAUUAGGAAAGAUGGGGUGACUUUUUGGUUUAACUAUUAGCCAUGGAGAAUUGUGCGUGGAGUGGCAGUGAGGGGCUGGGGGCUGGAUGAAAGCUACUGUUUUUCUAAUCAGGUAGUGACCUCUUCUGGGGAAAGAAAGAGUCUAGCAGGGCCUCAGCAUUAGGAGACAUGUACAACGUUUGUACCAAGGCAACCAAUGAUAGAGAGGAUGGUCCCCAGAGGAAGAAGCUCUUGGGGUAGAUGUUUGCCCUGGGCAGCCAGGUGGAAAACAAAAAUAAAUGAACUGAAACUAAAAAUCACUUUCUGGGUAGCCUUACCCAAAAGAGCCCUUACUGAGAGAGCUAAUGAAACCUUGUGGACCUGUGUAUGCAUUGUGGUGAGGUUACUAUCUGUGCAAGCUGGCCAUAUUCAAGAACCCAAGAUUGGUUUUUAUGGAGAAUAGUUCAAAAAAGGUCCAGAUGGGAAAUAUAUUUGUGUGCAUUCCUAACUGGAAGAAAAAAGCACUCUUUCAGAGGGACAAACCAAGGUUCAAAUGAAUGGUGAGGUCUAGAGUGGCGAGUGACUUUUGCCCAGUGGUCCUUUAGGGGGUAGGAAAGGGGCAAGUUCCUAUUGCGAUCUUGUCAAUUGAACUAGAGUAGUACAAACCGUAAGUUUUUUUUUCUCUCUAUUACACACCACUAUAUUCAUCUGCUACUUAAAGAUCCUGGAAGGAGGAAGAAAGAAAAUCUCCAGGAAGUCUUCUGGGUGACUUCAGCAAUAAUUGCAUUCCCCAUUUCCAGGUACCUAAAGGACUUAAAUUGUGCUAGAGAAUGGAACAUUAAAUCAGACAGAUUCUGCAUUGAAAAGUGCUGCACGACAUUACUGAUUACUGAAGAUACAAGCUAUUGCUUCCACUUACACCAGUGGACAGCGAGGUGCAGGGCUGAUGAAAAUCAUAUUGUCUUAUCUAUUUUUGAAUAGCAUUAGAAGAAUGGGUCUCAAAAGGUGAUGGGACUUGCCCAAGGCCAACUCAGAAACGUAUGGGCAUAACUCAAGUUAGAUCUGGGGUUUCUGACCAUCUUUUUUUUGUUUGUUUUCUGUUAGCAGUCAUUCCUCUUCCACCUUUCUCCAGGCCCACAUUGCAUAUUAAAUUGAUUAGUCAUAUUAAUAUUAAUAUCACUUGGAUAUUAGAUUGAUUAAUAGUAUGGUAGGUAUAAUUUAAACAACUACCAGAUGUUAGUCUCUGUCCAUUCAUUCAUUCAACAAAUAUUUAUUGCAUGCCUACAAUGUGCUAGGCACUGGAAAUACAAUAGCAAGCAAAAAUGAUAAACUCAGCCAUUGUCAAAAAUGUCAUCAACAAAGAUAUAACUAAAACUGUGCAAUCUCUGAAGGCAAGAGAUUUGACGUGGUAAGAGGCUAUGAUGGUAGGGGUGGGGCUAUUAGUCUAGGGAGAGCUUCCUGAAGGAAGUGAAAAUUUUGUUCAUGUGUUGAUCAGGUCUAAAAAUCUCAGCAUCAUCCUUGACUUCUCUCAUUUUCUUACACCCUAUAUCCUAUCCACCAGCAAAUCUGGUUGGCUUUGCAUUUUAAAUAUGUUCAGAAUCCAGUUGCUUCUUACCACCUCUGCUGCCAUCCUCCUUUGCCCAAACACUUCUUGUCUCUUGCCUGUAUUGUUGGAAUAUGGUGUCUCUGUUUUCACUCUUGUCUAUUCAUGCUCAAAUAUAUUUGGACAAUGCUGGGUCAAAAUAAAUUUCCAAGUCUUGUUCUGCCACAGGACUUCUCAGAGGCUUUCAUAUAGUAACCAAUGUACUGACUCUCCAAGAAGUGGGUGCAGUAUACAGCAUAUUAUACACAUUCACCACAGGGACUCUUUUCUUAUAGUGCAUUUCACACAACUGCUGUUCCAUGGAAGACAUCCUGAAAAAUACAGAAAAUGUUUAUGAAAAUAUUAAUACAUCACAUAAAGGAUUAUUAUUAUUCCACAGGAGUACAUGAUGGGGAAUGGAGCCACCUACAGCAGUUUCACGGAACAGGGAGUUGGGUUUACUGAGUCCUAGCUGCAGUUACCUUUUUCUGAGCUGUGUGGCGUUCAACAAAUUAUUUAAUGUCUCUGGGUUUCCUCAUCUGUGAAAUGCAGACAAUAAUUCCUGUCCUGUCUACUUUUCCAGGCUAUUGGAAGAAUCAAAUAAAAUUAAAAAUGUUAAAGAAAGAGCACCCCUUCCCUCCACUAUACCAAGCAUGAACUAAACCCAACACCAUUACUGUGCUAGUGUGGACACUUAGAAAAUCAUUAGUAUUUUCAGUUACACGAUCUCUGCACUUAAUCAAUGAGCAACACAUUAACAUUUGGUUUAUUUGUUUAAGCAACCAGGAGCAAAACCCAAAGAGUUGCUAGCUGUUGGCUGGAAAUCAAACAAAACAAAUAAUUAAUUGGAGCUAAGGCUGUGGAAAGUGCCAGCCUGUGACAUGCAUGGAAGACAGCAAGGAAAGCCUGGAGUGACCUGGACUGCAUAGCAGAAAGAAAAAUUCCUGCAGGGACAAUGUGAAAAAGACUAGGGAGCUCCUGGAUUCCCUUCCAAUCAUUUGUAACACAAGAAGACUUUCCCAGUCUCUGAAGAUUUUCUGUCUUCCGUCUUUCCAUCUGAGAUGGCUUUUCUCCAGCCUCUGAAACCUCUGCAUUCAGGGUCGUGCCUGAAGCCAAAGUCAGGUAUUAAAAACAUUCAGAUGUGAAAGUAAAGAUAUCAUUGAGACUAGGCGGAAGAUCACCUUUUGGGCGCCCCCCAAAAGUUCACUUUUUGUCCUAAGAUAUAAAUGCCAUUUUUUUGUUUGUUUGUUUGUUUGUUUCGAGAGGGAGUCUUCCUCUGUCGCCCAGACUG